rnacentral:rRNA from 1 species
UGGGGAAUAUUGCACAAUGGGCGCAAGCCUGAUGCAGCCAUGCCGCGUGUAUGAAGAAGGCCUUCGGGUUGUAAAGUACUUUCAGCGAGGAGGAAGGCGUUGUGGUUAAUAACCGCAGCGAUUGACGUUACUCGCAGAAGAAGCACCGGCUAACUCCGUGCCAGCAGCCGCGGGAAUACGGAGGGUGAAAGCGUUAAUCGGAAGUAGUGGGCGUAAAGCGCACGCAGGCGGUCUGUCAAGUUGGAUGUGAAAUCCCCGGGCUCAACCUGGGAACUGCAUCCGAAACUGGCAGGCUAGAGUCUUGUAGAGGGGGGUAGAAUUCCAGGUGUAGCGGUGAAAUGCGUAGAGAUCUGGAGGAAUACCGGUGGCGAAGGCGGCCCCCUGGACAAAGACUGACGCUCAGGUGCGAAAGCGUGGGGAGCAAACA